rnacentral:rRNA from 1 species
UACAGAGGGGGCAAGCGUUGUUCGGAAUUACUGGGCGUAAAGGGCGCGUAGGCGGCCUUCUAAGUCAGACGUGAAAUCCCCGGGCUCAACCCGGGAACUGCGUCUGAUACUGGAAGGCUUGAAUCCGGGAGAGGGAUGUGGAAUUCCAGGUGUAGCGGUGAAAUGCGUAGAUAUUGGGAAGAACACCGGUGGCGAAGGCGGCUAUCUGGCCCGUAAUUGACGCUGAGGCGCGAAAGCGUGGGGAGCAAACAGG